GUGUUGAAUGUUGAAGGAGAUGAUGACCUUCAGGUAGACUGUGACCUUGAUAGUGAGCCUGGUGACCAUGACCCAUCCUUUGUAGAAGCAGAUGUAUCCCUACUGCAUUAUGGGGUUGAAACUGUUGCUAGUGGGCAGGUCACAGACUCUAAUCACAAGAUCGUGUGGCAUAGGAAGGUGAAGGGAGACAACUGGGUAAUUUACUCCCAAGAGCAGAUAGAUGUUAUAGAAAAGGCCUACACUAGUCACUGUAAAUCCUGUGUUAUUAACAGUCCAAAUAAGCAAACAAGUUAUCGGCUGGACUUCAAUAACCUAGAAAGCACAAACCUAAGUGACAAGAGCUGUUCUGAAAUACGAAGAUCUGAAAUUACUUACAAUGAAUAUGCUCAGAGAUUUGACACCCUAUAGUCUGAAAUACCAGGGAGCAGCUCAAGACCAUAUUGCUGACCACAGCUGGACUAGUGUGUAGGGGUUCUAAACAUCGUGUAAAUCUUACAGCUGAUCGUGACCACAGCUAGACUGUUGUGUAGGGAGUCUAAACAUUGUGUAACUCUCACAUCUGACCACAGCUGGACUAGUGUGUAGGGGAUCUAAACAUCGUGUAAAUCUCAAAGCUGAUUGUGACCACAGCUAGACUGUUGUGUAGGGAGUCUAAACAUUGUGUAAAGCUCACAGCU